rnacentral:lncRNA from 1 species
GAAGCAGGUAGAUCUUAUGAGAAAAAUGGACCAGAAAAUCAGAGUAUGAUGACAACAUCCAGACUAGAGGCUCCAGAUGCAAGGACUUGAAAUGAAAAUUCCUGACGUAACUCAUCAUAAGGCCAACUCCUUAUGUCUCACCUGAAGACUUAUUCCGACUGAAAUGAAGUUCACCAAGGCUUCCUCGCCCUCCUUCACCUGUGGUGUACCUGUCCUUGCUCUCAGA